rnacentral:rRNA from 1 species
UACGUAGGGGGCAAGCGUUGUCCGGAUUUAUUGGGCGUAAAGAGCGUGUAGGCGGCCAGGCAGGUCCGUUGUGAAAACUCGAGGCUCAACCUCGAGACGUCGACGGAAACCGUCUGGCUAGAGUCCGGAAGAGGAGUGUGGAAUUCCUGGUGUAGCGGUGAAAUGCGCAGAUAUCAGGAAGAACACCUAUGGCGAAGGCAGCACUCUGGGACGGUACUGACGCUGAGACGCGAAAGCGUGGGGAGCGAACAGG